ACGGAAGGCAGCAGUGAGGGAUAUUGCACAAUGGGCGAAAGCCUGAUGCAGCAACGCCGCGUGAGGGAUGACGGUUUUCGGAUUGUAAACCUCUGUCUUUGGUGAUGAUAAUGACAUUAGCCAAGGAGGAAGCCACGGCUAACUACGUGCCAGCAGCCGCGGUAAUACGUAGGUGGCAAGCGUUGUCCGGAUUUACUGGGUGUAAAGGGAGCGCAGGCGGGAAAGCAAGUCAGCGGUGAAAUGCAUAGGCUUAACCUAUGAACUGCCGUUGAAACUGUUUUUCUUGAGUGAAGUAGAGGCAAGCGGAAUUCCGAGUGUAGCGGUGAAAUGCGUAGAUAUUCGGAGGAACACCAGUGGCGAAGGCGGCUUGCUGGGCUUUAACUGACGCUGAGGCUCGAAAGUGUGGGGAGCAAACAGGAUUAGAUACCCUGGUA
rnacentral:rRNA from 3 species